AUUUAGCAAGGCGAUGGAGUUCGCCUUAACCGCCCGAAAGGGCUGAUGACUCCUGCGAUACG
rnacentral:ncRNA from 2 species